UGGGGAAUAUUGCACAAUGGGCGCAAGCCUGAUGCAGCCAUGCCGCGUGUGUGAAGAAGGCCUUCGGGUUGUAAAGCACUUUCAGCGAGGAGGAAGGGUUCAGUGUUAAUAGCACUGUGCAUUGACGUUACUCGCAGAAGAAGCACCGGCUAACUCCGUGCCAGCAGCCGCGGUAAUACGGAGGGUGCAAGCGUUAAUCGGAAUUACUGGGCGUAAAGCGCACGCAGGCGGUUUGUUAAGUCAGAUGUGAAAUCCCCGCGCUUAACGUGGGAACUGCAUUUGAAACUGGCAAGCUAGAGUCUUGUAGAGGGGGGUAGAAUUCCAGGUGUAGCGGUGAAAUGCGUAGAGAUCUGGAGGAAUACCGGUGGCGAAGGCGGCCCCCUGGACAAAGACUGACGCUCAGGUGCGAAAGCGUGGGGAGCAAAACAGGAUUAGAUACCCUGG
rnacentral:rRNA from 1 species